AUUGAACGCUGGCGGCAUGCCUUACACAUGCAAGUCGAACGGCAGCACGGGAGCUUGCUCCUGGUGGCGAGUGGCGAACGGGUGAGUAAUACAUCGGAACGUACCCUGAAGUGGGGGAUAACGUAGCGAAAGUUACGCUAAUACCGCAUAUUCUGUGAGCAGGAAAGAGGGGGAUCGCAAGACCUCUUGCUUUAGGAGCGGCCGAUGUCGGAUUAGCUAGUUGGUGAGGUAAAGGCUCACCAAGGCGACGAUCCGUAGCGGGUCUGAGAGGAUGAUCCGCCACACUGGGACUGAGACACGGCCCAGACUCCUACGGGAGGCAGCAGUGGGGAAUUUUGGACAAUGGGCGCAAGCCUGAUCCAGCCAUGCCGCGUGAGUGAAGAAGGCCUCGGGUUGUUAAGACGUCUUUCGGUCCGGGACGGAAAUACGCAUGGGCCGAA
rnacentral:rRNA from 1 species